rnacentral:rRNA from 1 species
CACCGGCGGCUCGAGUGGUAACCGCUAUUAUUUGGUCUAAAGGGUCUGUAGCCGGCUUAGUCAGUCUCUUGAGAAAUCUGGCCGCUCAACGGUCAGGCGUUCAGGGGAUACUGCUAAAGCUCGAGACCGGGAGAGGUGAGAGGUACUUCAGGGGUAGGGGUGAAAUCUUGUAAUCCUUGAAGGACCACCAGUGGCGAAGGCGUCUCACCAGAACGGAUCUGACGGCAAGGGACGAAAGCUAGGGGCACGA